GGAAGCCCCAGCGCAGCUUCUCUUCCUCCUGCUACUCUGGCUCCCAGAUACCACCGGAGAAAUUGUGUUGACACAGUCUCCAGCCACCCUGUCUUUGUCUCCAGGGGAAAGAGCCACCCUCUCCUGCAGGGCCAGUCAGAGUGUUAGCAGCUACUUAGCCUGGUACCAACAGAAACCUGGCCAGGCUCCCAGGCUCCUCAUCUAUGAUGCAUCCAACAGGGCCACUGGCAUCCCAGCCAGGUUCAGUGGCAGUGGGUCUGGGACAGACUUCACUCUCACCAUCAGCAGCCUAGAGCCUGAAGAUUUUGCAGUUUAUUACUGUCAGCAGCUAUUGUUAGCUCAGAAGACAUUGCUUUGUUUUCUAAUUUUCUGAGCAAAUGAACUGUGGCUGCACCAUCUGUCUUCAUCUUCCCGCCAUCUGAUGAGCAGUUGAAAUCUGGAACUGCCUCUGUUGUGUGCCUGCUGAAUAACUUCUAUCCCAGAGAGGCCAAAGUACAGUGGAAGGUGGAUAACGCCCUCCAAUCGGGUAACUCCCAGGAGAGUGUCACAGAGCAGGACAGCAAGGACAGCACCUACAGCCUCAGCAGCACCCUGACGCUGAGCAAAGCAGACUACGAGAAACACAAAGUCUACGCCUGCGAAGUCACCCAUCAGGGCCUGAGCUCGCCCGUCACAAAGAGCUUCAACAGGGGAGAGUGUUAGAGGGAGAAGUGCCCCCACCUGCUCCUCAGUUCCAGCCUGACCCCCUCCCAUCCUUUGGCCUCUGACCCUUUUUCCACAGGGGACCUACCCCUAUUGCGGUCCUCCAGCUCAUCUUUCACCUCACCCCCCUCCUCCUCCUUGGCUUUAAUUAUGCUAAUGUUGGAGGAGAAUGAAUAAAUAAAGUGAAUCUUUG
rnacentral:lncRNA from 1 species